rnacentral:rRNA from 1 species
ACGGGUGAGUAACACGUGGGUAACCUGCCUUUAAGUGGGGGAUAACAUUUGGAAACAGAUGCUAAUACCGCAUAGAUCCAAGAACCGCAUGGUUCUUGGCUGAAAGAUGGCGUAAGCUAUCGCUUUUGGAUGGACCCGCGGCGUAUUAGCUAGUUGGUGAGGUAAUGGCUCACCAAGGCGAUGAUACGUAGCCGAACUGAGAGGUUGAUCGGCCACAUUGGGACUGAGACACGGCCCAAACUCCUACGGGAGGCAGCAGUAGGGAAUCUUCCACAAUGGACGCAAGUCUGAUGGAGCAACGCCGCGUGAGUGAAGAAGGCUUUCGGGUCGUAAAACUCUGUUGUUGGAGAAGAAUGGUCGGCAGAGUAACUGUUGUCGGCGUGACGGUAUCCAACCAGAAAGCCACGGCUAACUACGUGCCAGCAGCCGCGGUAAUACGUAGGUGGCAAGCGUUAUCCGGAUUUAUUGGGCGUAAAGCGAGCGCAGGCGGUUUUUUAAGUCUGAUGUGAAAGCCCUCGGCUUAACCGAGGAAGCGCAUCGGAAACUGGGAAACUUGAGUGCAGAAGAGGACAGUGGAACUCCAUGUGUAGCGGUGAAAUGCGUAGAUAUAUGGAAGAACACCAGUGGCGAAGGCGGCUGUCUGGUCUGUAACUGACGCUGAGGCUCGAAAGCAUGGGUAGCGAACAGGAUUAGAUACCCUGGUAGUCCAUGCCGUAAACGAUGAAUGCUAGGUGUUGGAGGGUUUCCGCCCUUCAGUGCCGCAGCUAACGCAUUAAGCA